GAAUCUUGUACGAUAAAGUUCAACUCCUCCCUCUACGGAAAACCCAAGUUGCGAAAUCUCCAAUAUAGGCGUUUUUUCGUCGAUUGAGCAGUGACUGCAGUCUAUGGGUAUUUCUCAAUUUUAGUUGCCGUUUCAGCCUUGUAUCAGCAGGUUUUUAUAUGACCAAACAUAUCGAGUGGUUCCAAUGACGAAUUUGACGCGAGCCUCCCGUCCCUGGCUGUAGAUGGCUGACAAAACAUUACGGUGGAACCAAAUGGACUCCUGAGAAAACCAGCAAACCAGGCUGUCGUCUUGUGAAACAGUGGAUGUAAAGAAUCUAGCUAGCUAAAGCAUUUAGAGGGCUAUGUGUCUCACCACUUGGUUAUUGCAAGGCUAAGCCCCAGUGAAAUCAUGACUUGACAGCAACAGAUAGUCCAGUGAAAAUGGCUGUGUUUAUGUGGUGUAAAUCUGAAAAUCAGCAGCUGACAUCUUAAGGGUUUUUAAUGAAUGGGUG
rnacentral:lncRNA from 1 species